UACGGAGGGUGCGAGCGUUAAUCGGAAUUACUGGGCGUAAAGCGUGCGUAGGCGGUGCGUUAAGUCAGAUGUGAAAGCCCCGGGCUCAACCUGGGAACGGCAUUUGAAACUGGCGGGCUAGAGUUAGGUAGAGGGGAGCGGAAUUCCGGGUGUAGCGGUGAAAUGCGUAGAUAUCCGGAGGAACACCAGUGGCGAAGGCGGCUCCCUGGACCCAAACUGACGCUGAGGUACGAAAGCGUGGGUAGCAAACAGG
rnacentral:rRNA from 1 species